rnacentral:rRNA from 1 species
UCGGGAAUCUUGGGCAAUGGGCGAAAGCCUGACCCAGCAACGCCGCGUGAGGGAUGAAGGCCUUCGGGUCGUAAACCUCUGUCGGGAGGGAAGAACGGUGACGUUUCGAAUAGGCUCGUCCCAUGACGGUACCUCCAAAGGAAGCACCGGCUAACUCCGUGCCAGCAGCCGCGGUAAUACGGAAGGUGCAAGCGUUGUUCGGAAUCACUGGGCGUAAAGCGCGUGUAGGCGGCUUGGCAAGUCGAAUGUGAAAUCCCGGGGCCCAACCCCGGAUCUGCAUCCGAAACUGCCUCGCUAGAGGCUCGGAGAGGAAGGCAGAAUUCCCGGUGUAGGGGUGAAAUCCGUAGAUAUCGGGAGGAAUACCAGCGGCGAAGGCGGCCUUCUGGAUGAUGACUGACGCUGAGACGCGAAAGCGUGGGGAGCAAACAGGAUUAGAUACCCCCGUAGUCC